AGCAUCAUAGUCUGAGACCCCGAAACUAGACGAGCUACUCCGAAGCAGUCUAAAAGGACUAACCCGUCUCUGUGGCAAAAGAGUGGGAAGACUUCCGAGUAGAGGUGAAAAGCCUACCGAGCCUAGUUAUAGCUGGUUGCUUAAGAAAAGAAUAUGAGUUCAGCCUUAUAAGUUUCUCAAAAAUCAAAAUGAAAGAAUAAAGUAACACAUAAGAGUUAGUCGAAGGGGGUACAGCUCCUUCGAAAAAGAACACAACCUUACCCAGGUAAAUAAGGAUUAUACUAAAAAAGGACAUGACUUUCAACAGUGGGCCCGAAAGCAGCCACCUCUAAUAGAAAGCGUUAAAGCUCAAGAACAGCCACACCAAAAAUAAAAAUAACCACUCCUAAUUUCCUAAUAAUAUUAAGCUGCCCUAUUUUAUAGGAGAAAUUAUGCUAAAAUGAGUAAUAAGAGAAACUAGACCCUCUCCGGGCACACGUGUAAAUUAGAGCGGACAAACCACUGACAACUAACGGACCCAAAAAAGAGGGUAAAACAACAAAACUCAAUAAACAAGAAAAACCUAUUAAAACAACCGUUAACCCAACACAGGAGUGCCACUUAAGGAAAGACUAAAAGGGGAAGAAGGAACUCGGCAAACACAAACCUCGCCUGUUUACCAAAAACACCGCCUCCUGCAAAUAGAAUGUAUUGGAGGUCCUGCCUGCCCAGUGACAAUAGGUUCAACGGCCGCGGUAUUUUGACCGUGCAAAGGUAGCGUAAUCACCUGUCUUUUAAAUAAAGACCUGUAUGAAUGGCAAGACGAGGGUUUUACUGUCUCCUCCCCCCAGUCAAUGAAAUUGAUCUACCCGUGCAGAAGCGGGUAUAAAAACAUAAGACGAGAAGACCCUAUGGAGCUUUAGGCACACAUCAAAUAUGUAAAAAACCAAAUCUUCCAAAUAGGCCUAAAAAAUGAGAAAAACAAGUAUUAAUGAUUAAUUGCCUUCGGUUGGGGCGACCACGGGGAAAAAUAAAACCCCCACAUGGAAUGGGUAAAAUUAUCCUAAGCCAAGAAAAACAAUUCUAAGCAACAAAAUUUUUGACCAAUAAACGACCCAGGGACAACAUCCCUGAGCAAUGAACCAAGUUACCCUAGGGAUAACAGCGCAAUCCUUUCCCAGAGCCCAUAUCAACGAAAGGGUUUACGACCUCGAUGUUGGAUCAGGGCAUCCUAACGGUGCAGCCGCUGUUAAGGG
rnacentral:rRNA from 1 species